GACGAACGCUGGCGGCGCGCCUAACACACGCAAGUCGAACGGAGCUUAAAGAGCUUGCUUUUUAAGCUUAGUGGCGAACGGGUGAGUAACGCGUGAGUAACCUGCCCUGGAGUGGGGGACAACAGUUGGAAACGACUGCUAAUACCGCAUAAGCCCACGGAUCCGCAUGGAUCUGCGGGAAAAGGAUUUAUUCGCUUCAGGAUGGACUCGCGUCCAAUUAGCUAGUUGGUGAGGUAACGGCCCACCAAGGCGACGAUUGGUAGCCGGACUGAGAGGUUGAACGGCCACAUUGGGACUGAGACACGGCCCACACUCCUACGGGAGGCAGCAGUGGGGGAUAUUGCACAAUGGGGGAAACCCUGAUGCAGCGACGCCGCGUGGAGGAAGAAGGUUUUCGGAUUGUAAACUCCUGUCGUUAGGGACGAUAAUGACGGUACCUAACAAGAAAGCACCGGCUAACUACGUGCCAGCAGCCGCGGUAAAACGUAGGGUGCGAGCGUUGUCCGGAAUUACUGGGUGUAAAGGGAGCGCAGGCGGAUCGGCAAGUUGGAAGUGAAAACUAUGGGCUCAACCCAUAAAUUGCUUUCAAAACUGCUGGCCUUGAGUAGUGCAGAGGUAGGUGGAAUUCCCGGUGUAGCGGGGGGAAUGCGUAGAUAUCGGGAGGAACACCAGUGGCGAAAGCGACCUACUGGGCACCAACUGAAGCUGAGGCUCGAAAGCAUGGGUAGCAAACAGGAUUAGAUACCCUGGUAGUCCAUGCCGUAAACGAUGAUUACUAGGUGUUGGAGGAUUGACCCCUUCAGUGCCGCAGUUAACACAAUAAGUAAUCCACCUGGGGAGUACGACCGCAAGGUUGAAACUCAAAGGAAUUGACGGGGGCCCGCACAAGCAGUGGAGUAUGUGGUUUAAUUCGAAGCAACGCGAAGAACCUUACCAGGUCUUGACAUCCGAUGCAUAGUGCAGAGAUGCAUGAAGUCCUUCGGGACAUCGAGACAGGUGGUGCAUGGUUGUCGUCAGCUCGUGUCGUGAGAUGUUGGGUUAAGUCCCGCAACGAGCGCAACCCUUAUUGCCAGUUACUACGCAAGAGGACUCUGGCGAGACUGCCGUUGACAAAACGGAGGAAGGUGGGGAUGACGUCAAAUCAUCAUGCCCUUUAUGACCUGGGCUACACACGUACUACAAUGGCGUUUAACAAAGAGAAGCAAGACCGCGAGGUGGAGCAAAACUCAAAAACAACGUCUCAGUUCAGAUUGCAGGCUGCAACUCGCCUGCAUGAAGUCGGAAUUGCUAGUAAUCGCGGAUCAGCAUGCCGCGGUGAAUACGUUCCCGGGCCUUGCACU
rnacentral:rRNA from 1 species